CUUUGCGCGUUUUUGCAAUAAAUUAACUGCUCAACACUUUGGCUGACCAGCUCGCAACCGAAGAUGGAAAUCGUCUUAAAAUUGUUUGACUUUGCAAGAGAUUUGAAAUUCAUAAGACUUUGAACCAAGAGUUUAUUAUAUUUUUACUCCCACAAUCUAUUAAAAAUGGCUUAAAAAGUGUAUAAUGUUUUUCUGCGAAGCCAGAAGGAUACAUCUCCCCGACCCCGGACGAACGGCUGAGUCGAUCCAACCAUGUCCUUCAGUUGCGCAAACUACAAAUGCUUGAAAUUGGAGAUAUAUACCAUGCAGUGUUUGCCUUUCUCCUGUCGGAUCUGUUUAUACCCUGUACCCCUUGUAAUUGGGCCUAAAGAGUAUAUUAGUUUUGUGCAAAGGUAUGUAACAUUUUUACGAUGUUAUCAUGAUAUUUUAAUUGAAAAUAUAAAGCUGUAUACACCAAAUGGUGGCACAAAAUA